AUCCUUUCUGGUUCAUAAAGCAUGAUGAUUGGGUGUUCACGCACUUGCGUGAUAUGUGCCGCCCAUUAAAUCUUGUUACGACGUGGGCACAUUACCCGUCUGACG